AUUGAACGCUGGCGGCAUGCCUUACACAUGCAAGUCGAACGGUAGAGGGGCAACCCUUGAGAGUGGCGAACGGGUGAGUAGCGUAUCGGAACAUUCCCGGUCGUGGGGGAUAACGUAGCGAAAGUUACGCUAAUACCGCAUACGAUCUAAGGAUGAAAGCGGGGGACCGAAAGGCCUCGCGCGAUCGGAGUGGCCGAUAUCAGAUUAGGUGGUUGGUGGGGUAAAGGCCUACCAAGCCGACGAUCUGUAGCUGGUCUUAGAGGACGACCAGCCACACUGGGACUGAGACACGGCCCAGACUCCUACGGGAGGCAGCAGUGGGGAAUUUUGGACAAUGGGCGAAAGCCUGAUCCAGCAAUGCCGCGUGCAGGAUGAAGGCCUUCGGGUUGUAAACUGCUUUUGUACGGAGCGAAAAGGUUUCCUCUAAUACAGGGGGCUGAUGACGGUACCGUAAGAAUAAGCACCGGCUAACUACGUGCCAGCAGCCGCAGUAA
rnacentral:rRNA from 1 species